ensembl:lncRNA
CCAAGGGGAAAGGCAGUCGCAGGAGAGGUUCUCCCUUUUUCCUUCUUGAAGCCGUGUCUCCUCUAUGCAACUGAGGCCAGCACAGAUGGAGGGGAAGAGCACCUGUCCCCAGCAUAGUGUUGGGAUGAGACGUGCCUCAGGAAGGUGUCCCUCACCCAUGGCAUUCCCCCCUCCCUGCCUCUCCCCAUGGAGACCAACCUCCCCUUUCAACCAAGGAGCCAUCACCACUGAGAGCACACACUCCUCUUAACAAACACCCAUCCAGAUGGCCCAAAACAAGGACAACUGGCCAAGUGAAAAAUACUGUCUGGAAAGAUGCAACACUGAUGCUAUUUGGAACAAGGUGCAUUACACUCUUCUUUACUGUGACUCAGACAUUAGGUCUUUAGGAAAAAAUAUACGUUUUUCUUCUUUUUUCCUUUGGUGAUGAAAAACAAGCCACUGAAAAUGAACGUUCUAUAGAAACAGAAACAUUUCCUCUGUGAGUGAAAAAAGAAACAAAUGAGAAAAAACCAAGGAGUCCUUGACCCCAAAUUUUCCAUAGUGCUCUAAUACAGGAAUUAAAAUGAAUGCUAGCAGAUGGGGAGUGGAAAACUUUGCUGCUGCUAACACUGAGGUGAUAACUGCUGUACUUAAAUGCAAAAGUACCUUUCUAUUUUGCUCAGCAUUGCCUGCACUUUUCAGAUUCCUCCCCAAGGCAUCUACAUUAGUUUGGUCAUUUGUUUGGUCACUGAUCAAAUAAAAAACUAGGAAAUACUCUUUCUGUAUUCUUCUGUCUCUCCAAACUUGUCUGUUCCUGUACACAAGCACAAUUCUGUAUGACCAAGAUUGACUCUUCGUAUUUGAACAAUAAAUAAAAACAUCUUGCCAGGCUGGUGUUCAAUAUGUCUCUGUUGAAUAAGAUACUUACACGCCUAUUUAAAUCCAUCAGUGAAGCACCGAGUCAUGAGUUUAAUGACAUUCACAUGCUUAGUUCCAUUAGCUUUAAUGGUGUUUAAAUCCACACUGAAAAACAGAUGCACACUUCAGGAUUUUCAGAAGAGUUAUGGCUUACCUGGGAAUUCAGAAGCCUAGGAACUAGGGCUGACCUGGUCACCAGGUAGUUUGUCUUCUGUCAGCAGAAAUGAUCCAUGACUGCUAACGUGGAAGGGGUGGUGAUCAGUCCCACACAGCAAACAGA